UACGUAGGGUGCAAGCGUUAAUCGGAAUUACUGGGCGUAAAGCGUGCGCAGGCGGUUGUGCAAGACCGAUGUGAAAUCCCCGGGCUUAACCUGGGAACUGCAUCUGUGACUGCAUUGCUGGAGUGCGGCAGAGGGGGAUGGAAUUCCGCGUGUAGCAGUGAAAUGCGUAGAUAUGCGGAGGAACACCGAUGGCGAAGGCAAUCCCCUGGGCCUGCACUGACGCUCAUGCACGAAAGCGUGGGGAGCAAACAGG
rnacentral:rRNA from 1 species